rnacentral:rRNA from 3 species
AGGCUCCCAGUAGACGACUGGGUUGAUAGGCCAGAUCUGGAAGCCCGGUAACGGGUGGAGGUGACUGGUACUAAUAGGCCGAGGGCUUGUCCUCAGUUG